CUAUGUGUGGAAGAAAAUGCCUGGCUUUAAAGGGUUUGAGUUGUAUCUUUUGCACGAAAAAAUGAUUGAUCUUCUUUCACAAUAUCAACCAUUGAAUUGUACAUUGCACAUAUCUCAAAGCAUGCCAAUUUUUUAUGCCAUCCGUCUAUAUAGAUCUCAAAGUAGUCCUUGCGUGAUUCAAUGGUUGAUAUCACGAAAGAAGGUGAAUCAUUCUUUCAUGCGAAAGAUACAAUCCAAACUUGACUCUACAGGAACAAAUAGAUGGUUACACCUAUUUAUGGCACGUCUCUGUUACAUAGAAAAAUUAGAUGA
rnacentral:lncRNA from 1 species